rnacentral:misc_RNA from 1 species
AAAGGGACAGAGGCAGACGCGAGAAGCUCCUACGUGCCAAAGCACGUACGCGCGUUUCCUUGCGUGCGCCUCUCGCCAUGCGCUCGCAACGGCUGCAACCUCAGUCUCACAGGUUCCGCACACCACUGUCUCUCCCCCACCCCACCACUCGACACAGCCGGCCGGAUGCCGGGACGUGAGCCGCUAGCACCUCGCGGAGGUGCCCAAACCUCGAUGUCUGUCCGCAGAGUCGCCGCCCCAUACGCAUCACGACGACCACCAGGCAAUAACCGGGCACGACCGGGGUUAGCUGUCGGGCAACGCACCGGUGCCGACCUUCCUACCACCACCACCACGACAGCAAGCAGGUCGGGUCAGAGAUCCCCGGUUCCGGCGGAGGCAGCCCCAGCUUGUCCUUGCUGCGCUGCGUGCUUAAAGGCGUUGCAGGAGGUACUGCACGCGUACAAUGCGCUGCUGCUCAACUCAAAGCGACUUUUCAUAGACGACGCACUGCACCACUACAGCGGUGACGAGGCGUGGAUUCGCGUACUGCGCUCGUUGGGCUGGUCCAAUGAGCCGGCUCCAGCAACCGGCGUGGGAAGGAGGAGUGAUCUCGCGCAGAGGUAGUCGGCCUUCUCUCUUUCUUGUGGAGUGCGUGAGGGCAGGGUUGGCGGGAGGCUUCUUGUUGAGGCGUGCCGCUCAUCAGUGCUGUGAGUCUGGGGAGCUGAUGGCGAUGGCGAAGCUUCCGCGUUUCAUGCACAGCUUCCGUGCGAUGUUUUCCUUCGCCCCUCAAAACGGCUUGUCCUUCGAUGGAGGUUUGCCUCCAUCGGACACCAUGCGACUUCCACCUCUGCUUGGCGUGCCUCGUCUUUUUUUGUGUGUGUGCGCGCGCGUGCGUGCGUGCGUGCUUGUGUAUGCCCACGCCGUUACCUACUGUAGCUCACGUGCGCACGCCAACACACACACACACACGCCGUCGUGCGCACAGAGUUAGAUCCACAAAUGGAGAGAAAAGAAGCGGCACAGCUGCUUAUUCUCCCCCCUCCCACACACACGCCACCACCACCACCUCAUGUCCACGGGGUGCACGGCCCUUCGCCAAAGGAAAGAGGGUUGCUGCGGCGACGAAGUCGCACGCGGCUCACUGUGAUUUGGCGCUCUUCUCUCUCCCUUCCCCCUCGCUCUCCCAGCCUCUCCAUCUCUGCUCUCCUCAUCUCUACCCUUUGGGGUCGAUCUCCAUAUUCAUGCGUGUGUGUGUGCGUGUGUCGGAUGCGUCUCUCUGCGCGUGACAG